AGUGAACGCUGGCGGUAGGCCUAACACAUGCAAGUCGAACGGCAGCACAGAGGAGCUUGCUCCUUGGGUGGCGAGUGGCGGACGGGUGAGGAAUACAUCGGAAUCUACUCUGUCGUGAGGGAUAACGUAGGGAAACUUACGCUAAUACCGCAUACGACCUACGGGUGAAAGCAGGGGAUCUUCGGACCUUGCGCGAUUGACUGAGCCGAUGUCGGAUUAGGUAGUUGUCGGGGUAAAGGCCCACCAAGGCGACGAUCCGUAGCUGGUCUGAGAGGAUGAUCAGCCACACUGGAACUGAGACACGGUCCAGACUCCUACGGGAGGCAGCAGUGGGGAAUAUUGGACAAUGGGCGCAAGCCUGAUCCAGCCAUGCCGCGUGGGUGAAGAAGGCCUUCGGGUUGUAAAGCCCUUUUGUUGGGAAAGAAAUCCAUCUGGUUAAUACCCGGGUGGGAUGACGGUACCCAAAGAAUAAGCACCGGCUAACUUCGUGCCAGCCGCCGCUGUAA
rnacentral:rRNA from 1 species